rnacentral:rRNA from 1 species
AAUUAAAGAAAUAAACUAACUUUAAAUAAAUUAAAAGGACGCGGUAUCCUGACCGUGAUAAUGUAGCAUAAUCAUUCGCCAUUUAAUUGAUGGAUAGUAUGAAUGGUAAAACGAGUAUAACACUGUCUUAAGAAGAAUCCUUAUGAAAUUAGAAUAAUAGUAAAGAUACUAUUUAAAACUGUAAGACGAGAAGACCCUAUAGAGCUUAACUACAACUCUUUAAAAACAAUAAAUUAAUUUAUCAAAAUAAAGAGAUAGGUAGUUUAGUUGGGGCGACUGUUUUCUAUAAUAAACGAAAACAAACAAAAUUAAUUAAAUAAUUUACUGUAUAAUAUAUCGAUUUAACAGUUAUAAUAAUAGGUAAUAAUGACCCGCUACUUAUAUAUAAAAAUAGUAACGAUCAAUAAAUAAAAGCUACCUUAGGGAUAACAGGAUAAUCUUGUUCUAGAGACCCUAUCGAAAACAAGGUUUGUCACCUCUAUGUUGAAUUAAGAUAUCCUAGGAGUGCAGAAGCUCCUAAAGGUAGGUCUGUUCGACCUAUAAAAUCUUACAUGAUUUGA